rnacentral:rRNA from 1 species
CAGGCUUAACACAUGCAAGUCGAGGGGUAUAUUUCUUCGGGAAUAGAGACCGGCGCACGGGUGCGUAACGCGUAUGCAAUCUACCUUUUACAGAGGGAUAGCCCAGAGAAAUUUGGAUUAAUACCUCAUAGUAUAAUGACUCGGCAUCGGGAUAUUAUUAAAGUCACAACGGUAAAAGAUGAGCAUGCGUCCCAUUAGCUAGUUGGUAAGGUAACGGCUUACCAAGGCUACGAUGGGUAGGGGUCCUGAGAGGGAGAUCCCCCACACUGGUACUGAGACACGGACCAGACUCCUACGGGAGGCAGCAGUGAGGAAUAUUGGACAAUGGGCGCAAGCCUGAUCCAGCCAUGCCGCGUGCAGGAUGACGGUCCUAUGGAUUGUAAACUGCUUUUGUACGAGAAGAAACACUCCUAUGUAUAGGAGCUUGACGGUAUCGUAAGAAUAAGGAUCGGCUAACUCCGUGCCAGCAGCCGCGGUAAUACGGAGGAUCCAAGCGUUAUCCGGAAUCAUUGGGUUUAAAGGGUCCGUAGGCGGUUUAGUAAGUCAGUGGUGAAAGCCCAUCGCUCAACGGUGGAACGGCCAUUGAUACUGCUGAACUUGAAUUAUUAGGAAGUAACUAGAAUAUGUAGUGUAGCGGUGAAAUGCUUAGAGAUUACAUGGAAUACCAAUUGCGAAGGCAGGUUACUACUAAUUGAUUGACGCUGAUGGACGAAAGCGUGGGUAGCGAACAGGAUUAGAUACCCUGGUAGUCCACGCCGUAAACGAUGGAUACUAGCUGUU